AAGGGAGACCUAAUUCCGGUAGGAGACGAAAAAAAAGUAGUCCCAACCAAGAAUCAAUCCCAAAAGGUCGGAACGAGGUAUGAGGCUUUCAAACUAGGUUCUGGGUUCAUAAAAGACCUGAAUCAGGAACAAGGGCUAUUAGCUCAGGUGGUUAGAGCGCACCCCUGAUAAGGGUGAGGUCCCUGGUUCGAGUCCAGGAUGGCCCACCUGCACAGGUGGCAAAAACAAGAGAAGCUCCGAAUCAGCACCUUAUCUUAUAUACAUAUAUAAGAGAGAAUGCUGGCUCUGAGUACAGAGUCCAGAGGAACCUUGAAAACUGCAUAGAGCUAGGUGAAAAAGCCGAAAAAGAAGACCGCAA
rnacentral:tRNA from 1 species